AUUGAGUAAAAAGAAAUAUGAGUAUAUGAACGUUAUAUUAAAAAAAAAAAAUAAAAUAAAAUCAAUCAUAAUUUUAAUGUAUAACUUACUAUUCAAAUUUGUAUAAUUUUAUAAAUUACUAUAGCCUGAAAUAUGCAAUUAUUAUUAUAUUAUUAUAUUUUUGUAAAAUAACGAUUUAUACACUUUAUAGAUAUAGUUUUUUUAGUGUUAGUGAAUACGUAACUCUUUUUCAAUUUUGUAAAAAUGUAGAAAUAGAAAAAUUUGUAAUUAAACUAAAUCUAAAAAGUUUUUCAAAUUCAGUGUUACAUAUACUUUACAAAUUAUCUUCAAAUUAUUUGAGGAAUAAAAUAAAACUUUCAGAAUCAUUAGUAAUUACACAAAAAGAGUAAAAUUUUUAUUAUAAUUUUAUGAUGUAUAAUUAUGCAAUCAUAGAAUUGUGAAAGAUAAUUCUAUAUUAAAGAUCAGUUAAUUUUUUCUCUCAACAAUGCUCAAAGCCCCUCAUUAUUUCUUCACAGAUAGGGAUAAAUGGAGCAAAUUUGUAAUUUUUUUCAGAACAGAUUUUUUUGCCAUCUUUUAAUUAAUAAUUGUACAAACAUCAAGUUGAGUGAUCAAACUAACUGAAAAAAAUGCUUAUAAGAUUCAUUCGCAAGGAAAAGUAUAACUGAAUUGUAUUCAAUUAAAAAAAAUUUUGAUUUUUAUGAGAUUUGUAAUUUAAGCGCUGAUGAGCUGUAAAUGGUUGCUUAGGUAAAAUGUUGAGAAGUUACGGACAAUUAUUCAUUCUCAAAGUGUCCAGAAUUUUUCAUGAAUUUUUGUUAUUUUUGUAACAUAGGUAACAAAUAUUAAUUGUAAUAUUAAUUAAUUUGUAAUAAAUAAUUUCACAUAAAAUUCUAUUCUAUGAUGACGUUUCAUUGGUGUGAUAUCCAACCUCCUCAGAUCAAAAUAAUAAUUCUAAAUCUUAUAAUAUUAGACACUGUCUAUGUACACGGUAGAUGGUAGACGGUACACGGGUUUUUCUUGCGGCAAAUAUUCAACCCGUGUACAUGUACAGUACACGGUAGACGAGCCAUUUUUCUAGAGCACGUUUAGGAAGAGUGUGCCUGAGUGGGUAUGAUUGCUUCAGCACAUCUGAGCAAGAAAAUCAAUUAAUUAGUGACUUAUAAUUUACUUUUCUUCUGCAAAGAGUAAAUCUGUGUACUGUUGCCUUAGCAUACUGAUCUUUUCACUCAGAUGUGCUAAAGCAAUCAUACCCACUCAGGCUCACUCUGUGCAAACAUACUCUAGAAAAAUGGCCAAACUUUGAAUCGGAACAACUUUGUGUUUUCUUAAUAUUCUCCGCGAGGAAAAUCCGUGUAUGUAGACGGGUGGGUGUACGUAGACAGUGUCAUAAUAUUCAGAGAAAAUUCCUUGAGUGAAUCAGAGUAAGCUAUGACAUAUUAGCAAUUUCCUCUUAAUAUUAUAAGAUUUAAAAUUUAUAUUUUGAUCUGAGAAGGUUGGAUAUCACACCAACGAAACAUCAUCAUAUAAUAGAAUUUUGUGUGAAAUUAUUUAUUACAAGGAUUAACUCUCCCACGUUUGUACUUAAUUAUUAAUUUUCGGUAAAUUUGGAAGGUAGCAAGUAUGAUUUUGUUCAACAUAGAUAACUUUAUAUCUAAGUAACUAUUUAGAACUCGCCAAUGCUAAAAUUAAAGAUCUUUUCCCAAUUAUUGAACUUAAAAAAAUUAUUUUUCUUUAAGGGGGAGUUAGAGCCAUGUUAAUAAGUUUCAGUACUACUUAACCUCAAAAAUGGUUAAGAUCAUAAAUAAUAAAUCAAUCUAGUUGCUUUUAGCUUCAAAAUGCAGUUGCUGUUAUAAUAAUUUAUAUUUGCUAAGUAUUAUCUUUGUGUGAUUUCGCAUUAUUUUUGCUCAUAACAAAAAAAAUGACCCAAAGGAAGGCAGCAAUGUUUCUAUGUUUUGGGAUAAUCUACAUCAUAACAAACAAUUUAUAAUUUGAUUUCUGAUGGUCCAGAGAAUAUUGAAGGAAAACAAUAUAAACUAUGACUUCAGGUGGAGGUCACAAUUGGUCACGCUGGCUCCGACAUCUUCUUAAAGUAAAAAUAUUUGAAACCUCAUAGAAUAAUACAAAUUACAAAUUUGCUUCAGCAAAACUGUACAAAUUAGCCCCAAAUCAGUUAAAAUUCUGUGAUGGUGAUUGUGUAACCACAUUAAAUAAAAUUGAGGUUCAUCAGACAUCCAAAUUUUUUUUAUAAGCAAUACUCUCAAGAUAUUAUUGUUGGUAGAAUGGAAUUCUGAGUUGAGUUUUCAAUCAAAAUUGCAGUUGUAAGGUCACAUUUAUCUAUUAAAUUGAAAAUAUUUUACCAGCACUAUCUAAAAAUCUACGCACAUAGGAGAAGAUUGUAAAAUUGAAAAUUGCCCUAGUAUAAAUUAGCCUAAUCUUUCCCUACACGGAGAGCUCUUUCUGCACCGACUUGCAGGUGUCAAAUGCCGAAAAUUAAUCCAGCAUAAGUAAUUUCGUUAUAAUGAUAUGUUAAAUAAAAGAAUGCCUUUUUUACGUUAUAACAAUGAAUUAAUAAAGAGCGAUAUGUACAGGUCAAAGGUUUGAACGAGAAAGAAUCCCCAACAUGGUAUGGGGUUCCUUAAGUACUUUAUGGUCAUCUGCGUACAUAAAGUCACAAACAUCAACAUCCCGAGUCACUUGGUCUUCGAAAAUCUAGGGAUAAGCUGACUAUCCUAUGAGACCUACUCUAUCGAUUGCGAAUGUGAAUAUGGCCUUCCUUCAGCAGAAGGUAACAAAUAGAACAAGCUCUGUGCCAACUGCAAUUGUACAAUUUCCACCUCAAAAUAAACAAGAUGAACAAAGCCUACCUGGACAACUUACACGAGACCAGCGGGCGUCAAGAAACAAGAACCAGCCUAAUUAACAACUUACCUCCAACUCUAAUGGAUAGAUUGAUUAUGUUCUAACAAUUUGAUUAUGUUCUAACUUAGAACUGAUUAAAUUUUGGGGAUGCUGGACUGACUCGUUUUAAUUGUAUUGCUAUAUCUAAUUUUUAAAUAAUAUAUUUUUUUUCAAA